rnacentral:rRNA from 1 species
GUAGUCCGCACCGUAAACGAUGAUCACUCGUUGUUGGCGAUACACAGUCAGCGACUAAGCGAAAGCAUUAAGUGAUCCACCUGGGAAGUACGACCGCAAGGUUGAAACUCAAAGGAAUUGACGGGGGCCCGCACAAGCGGAGGAGCAUGUGGUUUAAUUCGAUGGUACGCGAGGAACCUUACCUGGGCUUGAAAGACAGAUGACCGUUUCCGAAAGGAGACUUUUCGCAAGAACAUUUGUCUAGGUGCUGCAUGGCUGUCGUCAGCUCGUGCCGUGAGGUGUCGGGUUAAGUCCCAUAACGAGCGCAACCCCUAUUAGUAGUUGCUAACAGAUAAUGCUGAGAACUCUACUGAAACUGCCAGCGUAAGCUGUGA